AUCCUGCUCGGAGGGGUGCAAGUAGAACCAGAGGGGUUAUACUUUCAAUAUAGCACAAGCAGAACAACCAUGCCCAUCAUACAAACAGUUCAUGGAGUACAGAAGCUCGAAGUCAGACGAAUGACAGUCUUUUAACUAUGGACCAAAAGGAAGAUUUAAGCCUAAAGAAAGAAAACACGUCCAGAUAAAUGUAGGAUUGAUGGUGCCACAUGAAACUGAUGGAACCGAUUUAAAACCUCUAAGAGGGAAAACACUCCCGUUAUUUACAGACCCAGAGGUAGCAGCACCUGAUCUACUAAAACAAUUAGAAAUGCACCAGGACAUUCAUCAACAAUUCAGCCAGGACAGAUAGUAAUAUCUGAUGCUGAGGAUCUGGAUCCACCUGAAAAAAAUCCAGAAAAAACUUCUUGCUACAGUAAAUACACAGACCUGUAUUCACCAAAUGUUGAGCAAGAGGACGAAGAGACAGUUGCUGUCAAUGUGAAGAAUUUCCAACACACCUAUUGAGAUAUUGCUUUGGUGAUGUUAUUCAGAAGGACUUGGAUGAGUGUGUGAGAUUGUGGAACAGUCACAGGAUUCGCCCUUCCAGAACAGCAGCAUGUCCAGGAGGAGUGCCCAAUGAACUCUACUACUUACCACACAGGUUUGGCUCCAGAGACUGUGGAUUUCAAAUUGAACAGGCUGAACUGGAUGCCCUUCCUGAGGCUAGCCUGUCAAUGACUCCUUGUGGGGACCCAAACAUGCAGGAGUACUUGGACUUUGCCAUGGAACACAAU